UGCCGAGAUAGCUCAGUUGGUAGAGCAGUGGACUGAAAAUCCUCGUGUCACCAGUUCAAAUCUGGUUCUUGGCAU
rnacentral:tRNA from 2 species